CCGCGAGCACCGGCGCAGGGGAACCCGGAGCCACCGCCAGCCGGCAGAGACCAGGCAGGGAACCGCAGAGCUCAGGCGCCCUCCCCCUCGCUCCCGCCGCCCCACCUCCGUGCCUCCCUCCCGCCUGCCCUGCCAGCCCCCUCCCUGUGCUCUCCCUUCCAGGCUGAGGCUGCCGCAGGGCCACCUAAAGCAUUUGCCUGGGGAAGCCACUAGGACCCCCCGCGUGCAUCUUCCUCCUCGCCCUCGGCAGGAGCCGGCAGCUUAGAAGGAGACCUCUCAGUCGGAGGCGAGCACCAGGAGUGGAAAGUACCAUUCUGAAGAAAGGACACUCACAUGCAAACUCCUAGAAAAAGGAUUUCGGCUGAGUAAGCGAGCUACCCCAGGAGUAGAUUCCAAACUCAAGUCAAGACAUGGGUGACAGCAGCCACAGCAAGCAUCUGACGACAAACACAUGGGAGAACUGAGCCAAAUAAUUCAAUGAGAUAGUUGAUCAUUCAAUUAAGACUGACUCCUCGCAGCAGCUAUCAAUGACAAAUAGUGCUUCAGCUAAGGGUAGAACUUUGCUCUAACCUCCUCCCUUCAUGAGCCUGAUGACUGGGGAGGAUAGUCCUCAGGAGAUGACCCAAGCCCUGAAAUUUGGGACCAGAGGUUUACUCUUCAUCCAUUGUCAAAUUUUGGGAGCAUUGUGUAUAAGAUAAUAUAAUCUUCAAUUGAAAAGAAAAAAGAAGAGGAAAAGGAGCUUCCUUGGGAGGUGGACUGUGGCAAUCUGGGAGGAAACUGAUUCUUCAUAACACUUGCAGCAGCCUCCCUGCCAAGGCCACUCCUGCUGUAUCAUCCACACGUCACUGAUAUUUAGAAAGUUUUUGAAAAUAUAAUCACAGUAUUUGACAUGCCUGUAAAACGCUCAGAAACAAUGCUGGUUGCUACUCCCAGCUCACAAACCAACGUGGAUCAUUGGAUGGGGAGGUGUGCACCUACCUUUCCAGCACCCAGGAGCCUGUCCGGAUCACCAAGUCUUCUGAGACCAGCUUGGUCCAUGUGAAUGCUAAGGCAAAUGCUAACUCUUCCGCUAUCAAGAGAAUGGAAUGAUUUCAUUUGUAGUAACAUGGUUGGGAGUAGGACUCAAAUUAAAAGACAUGAGUGGAGUAGGCACAGAAAGGCAGAAAGACAAGCACCAUACUGUCUUACUCAACCCUAAAGAAGACCUCCUCAGAGUGAGGAUGGGAUAGUGAUUAUCAGUGGUAAGAGGGACAGAUGGGACAGGAGGAUGGGUAAAGGUUAACUAACAGAUGCUAAAUCAUAGUUAUAUAGGAACAAGAAGUCCAUACUGCCUAGUGCAUGGUAAGAAGACUAUAUAACAAUUAUAUGCUAUAUACAUUUUAAAAGUUACAAUAGAAUAUUUUAAUGUUUGGAAUGGUAGACAGUUCUGGAGAUGUAUACAUAUAACCUGGCAAACAUCAUACUAACCUAUCACACACAUUAGUACCUCAUUAUCAUGUACAAUUUUAAUGUUCUUACUUAUCAAUUAAAGAUAAGCAAUUCAAUUAAUAAAAAUAAAAGUUAUGCCUGCU
rnacentral:lncRNA from 1 species